ACGUAGGGAGCGAGCGUUGUCCGGAAUUAUUGGGCGUAAAGGGCGCGUAGGUGGCUUGGCAAGUCAGAUGUGAAAUCCCCGGGCUUAACUCGGGAUCUGCAUUUGAAACUGCUGAGCUUGAGUGCAGGAGAGGAAAGCGGAAUUCCUAGUGUAGCGGUGAAAUGCGUAGAUAUUAGGAGGAACACCAGUGGCGAAGGCGGCUUACUGGACUGUAACUGACACUGAGGCGCGAAAGCGUGGGGAGCAAACAG
rnacentral:rRNA from 1 species